UAUAAGUUAUGGACCCAUAUAACUUUUAUCAUAGUUCACAAAAAGAUCUAUUUGUCCGUGAUUACUCGUGAUUCCAACUUCACUUUCUCAAAUUGUAUACAAUAACUUGAACUGAGACAAUUUUUUUGAAUUCGCUCCGCCUUGUUUUUUUUGCAUGGUACUAUAAGUUAUGGACCCAUAUAACUUUUACCAUAGUCCACAAACAUCUUUAUCAUGUUGUACAAGAAAAAAAACAAAAACAAAAAAGAAUGAUUCAGCUUAAAACACUCACAAAAAAACAAAAUAUUUUUGUAUCACAUGACAAAUUUUUUCAAAUGAUAUAUGAUUUCUCUAAUUUCCAUGUAACUUCCAGGAAAGAGAACUAGCAACAAAUAUAACCAACCAAAUAUCACCACAUUUACAUAAAUAAUAUAUAGUACAUAUUUGUACAUACAUAUAUAAUUAUAUAUAUAUAUAUAUACAACACAUCUAUUUUCUUGGACCAAUAUAUAGCCUCAACUUAUAAGCUCCAACAACUUCAAUCAUUUACAAUAUAGUACAUUUUACCAGCUUUUUCUUUUUUUCACUUCUCUUUCCUAGUAAAAGGACUAUAUUCACAUUGGCUCUCAUAUUUAUCGAGGUGGUCGCAACUAGUUUUGGUCAAGAGGGUUCAUCUGAAUCGCCUUUUGUGCAACAAGGUUGGGCCAAAACAACUUUUUGUGUGUGUGUGUUUUCAUAUUUUCUUGAAAUUCUAUAAUAGUGUUAAAGGCGGUUCAGUAUUUACUUUUAAGUCACUUGAGCGGUAAAAGACAGUUCAAGAUUUACUUUAGGUCGCAGGUUCAAAUUUCAAAGGUGGUUCAAGAUUUACUACAAGUCAUAGUAGGUUUGACCUUCUUUGACUUAAGGGAAGCUUCUAUUGUAGCGGUAAAAAGCGGUUCAAGAUUUAUUUUAGAUCGCAAAUUCAAAUUUCAGAAUUUCUGGCUUUCGAUGGAGACAAUAUCAUGCAUGGAGGCUCUUCAUGAGGAUCCUCUAGGUUUUGAAGAUUAUUUUCCUUCAAUGGUUGACACAUUGGGUGUUGAAAGAUUCAUGGAGGAAUUAUACAAUGGUUUUUGUUUGUUAAUGGAUGUAAGUGUAGGACUCAUCACAUUUGAAAGCUUGAAGAGGAACACAACUUUGAUGGGGUUAAAUGAAUUGAGAGAUGAUGAACUUGUUUGCAUGUUGGCUGAGGGUGAUUUAGAUGGAGAUGGUGCUCUUAAUCAAAUGGAGUUUUGUUCACUCAUGUUUAGAUUAAGUCCUGGAUUAAUGAUGGAGGGAUCUCAACCAGGCGACUUACGAGUCAGUUCCUGACCUGAGUAAUCAAACUUAUGCCCAGUGGGAUCCUGGGGUCCUCUGACAUGUGGUCAAUACUUUCGUUUUAGAAGUCAGUGAUCGAACUUAUGCAUAGUGGGGUCCUGGGUUCUCGAAUCUGUGCUUGAUACUUUCGUUUUAGAAGUCAGUAAUCGAACUUAUGCCCAGUGAGGUCCUCUGAUCUGUGAUUGAUACUUUCGUUUUAGAAGUCAGUAAUCGAACUUAUGCCUGGUGGGGUCCUCUCAUCUGUGGUUGAUACUUUCGUUAUAGAAGUCAGUAAUCAAUGUUAUGCCUGGUGGGGUCCUCUGAUCUGUGCUCGAUACUUUCGUUUUAGAAGUCAGAUUGGAUUUCCAAGAAAAUGUAUGCAUGAUCUAGGGACCUAUUAAUUUAUAAUGUUAAUUCCUAGCUUUUUUUUAAAUUAUUCUUAUCAUUUUUUUAAAUUUUUAUUUUAUUUUAUUUUUUCUUGUGGGAGAUAAGGAGCAUGUACUAUAAUUGCUCUUCCUUGUAAUAUGAUCAUUUAUAUGAUAUUUCAAAUAAAUUGUGUAAUGGGAUGUGGAAAUUCUUUUUGAUA